rnacentral:tRNA from 1 species
GGAACUGUGGCCUAGUGGUAGAGUGCUUGCCUACCAUGCAUGAGGCUCUGGGUUUGAUUCCUCAGUACCA